CAGGAAAUGUUUCGUUCUUCCAAGUGUUCGAUCAUGGCAUCGACAAGGAACACUCCGGUUACUCCAGUGAGAUUCACAAGGUUAUCAGAACGAGCGGCGUAUAUCAUGAGUUCGUCGAAGAGUUCUGGUCCGAUGAGGUAGUUGUCUUGUGUAGUAGAAGUAGUACCAAGUGACAGCUCGGUGUGGAGUAUGACUUCUCUUGCGUUGGUGAGUCUCUGCUGUGUUGAUAUGAGACCUGUGUUGCUUAAGCAUCGGAGGACGUUAGAGACAUGGCUGAUAAGACUGGAGAUCGCUUGAUAGUUACCACUACUUGUUGAGUUCUUCAACGAAGCUGCGGAGUUUUCAAGAACGUCCCAAUCAGGUUCUACAGGCUCUAGAGGCAGCCUUAUCUGUCCUGGAACUACAAAAUAUCAUAACAGCAGGUUCAGAUACAAGAAACUGAUGCUUUUUCAUAGAAAUUAGGUAAUGUCUGAAUAAUAAUCUUAUGGACCUGAGAUAGUGUCAAAACUAUUUGAGAAACAACUCUCAUUAGAGAAAGAUGCAUCCAGUACAGAACCAGGGCUUGUGUAAUCACUGUUUGCAUUUCCUAUCAUCUCUGUUUUGCCUUUCCUCUGCAAGAAUCAAGAAAGCAAGAAUGAAUAGAAAAUGAGAAAAUACUAAAAUGUGUAAACCUUUAAGCAUACCCGCCGACGAGCUGUUUCUGCAUAAGGCUGCUGGUGUGCUAUUGAAGAUAGCAACUCAUGGAGAAUCAAAGAUGCUUGUUUAUUGGGAAAUGCACUUUUUAUUAUGGCUUCAUCUUCUUCUUGUGAAGCAAACUCUUUAAGCUUUUGCUGAAUCAAACCCACAGUACCAGCAUCAAGUGUUGUUCUUGGGUUACUUUCACCCAUCUGACUUGGAACACCUUUGGUUUCUCUACAGCGUUGGCUAUAGUUUCUAUGAGGGGAACCAUUACUACAAGUGCUUUCACCAUCUAAUGGACUCAUAGAGCUACUUCCUUGCACUUGACCACUUACACAAGCUAACCUUCUCUUCCUUCCUGGAGUGCUUAACCCUGAUCUAUUAGAAGAUUCCUCAACUCUAGUGUAAGAUUUUCUCUGUACAUUCAAAUCAGAGUUCUCAAAUCUAGCCUUGGAGUGAUGAUGACUCCUGCUGGUUGAAGCUCUAUUCAUGGCAACAAAGUCCUUCUCUUUACAGUUGAUUGCAUUUACAGGUGACGAAGAACAACCUCUUUUGCUCUGAAAGGUGUGAGAUUGAGCUACCAAAGGAAACCUUGCAGGAUGUGGAGCCUUCUUCUCCAUUGGAUCUGUGAACUCUCUACCUUUACCAGAGGCUACAGACAUAGAUGGUUCUUGAUUUCUCCAAAACACAUUUCUUUUACUCCUUUCAAAAGGCGUUGAUUCAGCAACACACGCCAUGUUCUUUCCAAAUUCUUCUUCAGCUACGGGACUAGAACCGUGAACAUCAACAAAGCUACCACAAGCUUUACAAGAAGCAACACUAUUGCUGCUAUUAUAACCAUGUUGAAACUCGGGUGAAACAACUGGCUCUUUCCCAACAUUAUUGAGCCUUCUAACGCCUGAAGAGCCUGGAUAAGCAAUGGCGUGUUUCGCAUUUCUCUUUCCCAGUUCCAGAAUCCUAGCAGCAGCAUCGAUCAACCUAGAGUUGCGUCUAUUAUGAAGCCUGGGGCUUCUAACAGGAGGAGAAGCAAGUUUCUGAUGCUGAUGAUGGCUAUUGUACUUUCGGGUCAAAACGUUCUUAAUCUGCAAUGCUUCUGAUCCAAACUUCUUCACCAUAACACCACGCCUAUCACUCACACUUGUUGUUGUUCUCUGCAUCUUCUGUGGCCUUGACUUAUCAAUACCAUUAUCUUCUUCUUCUUCCUCAUCAAACAAACCACACUUAUUGUUGUUGUCGUGAAUCUGCUGAUACAAUGGUUUCUUCUUCUUCCCUUUGUCUCUGUGGUUAGAUGGUAAUGAGUCAAGUCCCAUUAAGCGUGCUACCAAACUAGGAGGUCUCAUAUCAUGCUUCUUAAGCUCCACAACUUCACCUCUAUUUGGGAAACCUCCUCUGUUCUCAUCAUCAAUCUUCAUCAAGGACACAAAUAAACAACUUUAGGUUGUUUCUACUCAAUUUUGCAAACUAAAAAUACACAAAAGGGUGGAAAAGUAAUCACCAGAUUAAGCUUAGAUUUGAGCAUUUUCUCAUCCCUACCAAACCUCUUUGAACCUUGUUUCCCUGACAAAAAAAUGCAAUAAAUAUAUAUUCUCUUUCAUUUUUUCAGACACAACCAUUAGAUAAACUUAGACAGAGAGAGAAAACAGACUAACCAGGAAGAAGUGAUUUGCGAGAAAAGAGCUUCCUUUUAGCAAAACGUCGGUUCCAGUUGAAGAGCUGGGAGAAAACACCGACGCAACCGCCUAACCUAUGAACUUCCUCAAGAACACCACGGAUCAGCAAGGAAGCAUCAGCACUCGAUGAAGGCUUUAAUCCGCAGGAAAUGUUUCGUUCUUCCAAGUGUUCGAUCAUGGCAUCGACAAGGAACACUCCGGUUACUCCAGUGAGAUUCACAAGGUUAUCAGAACGAGCGGCGUAUAUCAUGAGUUCGUCGAAGAGUUCUGGUCCGAUGAGGUAGUUGUCUUGUGUAGUAGAAGUAGUACCAAGUGACAGCUCGGUGUGGAGUAUGACUUCUCUUGCGUUGGUGAGUCUCUGCUGUGUUGAUAUGAGACCUGUGUUGCUUAAGCAUCGGAGGACGUUAGAGACAUGGCUGAUAAGACUGGAGAUCGCUUGAUAGUUACCACUACUUGUUGAGUUCUUCAACGAAGCUGCGGAGUUUUCAAGAACGUCCCAAUCAGGUUCUACAGGCUCUAGAGGCAGCCUUAUCUGUCCUGGAACUACAAAAUAUCA
rnacentral:lncRNA from 1 species